GGAGCUCUGACCGCCCGUGGGUCCUGUCCCCACGCACCAGCUCUGCCUGCCCAUGGGUCCUGUCCCCAUGCCAGCGGCAGCAGCAGCAGAAGCUCUGCCUGCCCAUGGGUCCUGUCCCCAUGCUAUUCCACACUAUUCUCUAAAUAAAAGAGCACUACUGCCAGAUCUUGAGAGUCUAAGAAAUCUUUCUUUCGACUCCUCGGCUCACCGAUCCCGCAUCAUUUCUGGUGGCCCGUACGGGGAAUUGCUUCAUCGGCUUGUGAGCUCGAGUUCUGGUAAGUGCCCUUUUCUUCCUUGUGCCUUUCUCUUUUUCAAGGAUGGAUCUAGAUUCACUGCUCCAUCGGGAACUUUCUCGGACAGCUGUAUGAAUCCACGUUUGCUGCCCAUGGCUACUCUAUGGGGCAAAUUGUGGCAUUCAGCUUGAAGAGAUUCAGUACCUUAAGCCUCAGGGUGAUGGAGAAUGAAUUAAUCCAUUCCUUCCUGCUCUUUUUCAAGGAUGGAUCUAGAUUCACUGCUCCAUCGGGAACUUUCUUGGAUGGCUGUAUGAAUCCACGUUUGCUGCCCAUGGCUACUCUAUGGGGCAAAUUGUGGCAUUCAGCUUGAAGAGAUUCAGUACCUUAAGCCUCAGGGUGAUGGAGAAUGAAUUAAUCCAUUCCUUCCUGACUCUAUCUCUAAUAGACAAAUUUUACGUGGGCGCGGGUCGGCCACUUAAGUCGUUAGGACGGCCGCCAAUCUCCAAGACUCCCGUGGAAGGUUUCUUUUCCUAAGGCUGGAUUGGCAUCCCUCCCUCUGGCACCUGACCACGCUCUGAACUGCGAGGAAAGUCCCACUCGGGACUCCAGUUCAAGGGAAGUACCAAACUCUAACCUUUGGUGGAGUAUGGGAACCCCUUCUUGGGAGAAUGGCUCCAGGAUGCAAUUGGGUAGAAUGUCCCCCAGACUGGCGGAAAAUUCCUCACUGUCUUUCUCUUUCUCACUGUCUUUGUCCUUUUCUCUCCUGGGGACCAUACGCCAGGCACCUAUUACUGUCAGGCAGAAUAGGGAAGAUGUUCAAGGGAUGCCCCCAUCAUCCCUUGCUACAGGAACUCCAUUGGGGGGAUUUUCAAGGUAAUGGCCCCUUUUCUUUCUCCUUUUCUCUCGGGAACCAUUCACCAGGCCUAUGCUGUCAGGCAGAAUAGGCACCAGGCACCUGUUACUGCCAGGCAUAACAGGGAAGGUAUACAAGGGAUGCAAUGCUGGGGGACGCCCCCAUCACCCCUUGCUAUAGGAACCCCACAGUAGGAACAACGGGUAGGACGCUGCCCUAGGUUCAGGGGGGAUUUUUCAUGGUAAUGGACCCGUUUCUUUUGUCUCUCUUGGAGUUACAAUGGCAAUUUUCAUCUCCUUUUGAGCCUUGUGACUGGGAAACAAAGAAAUCUUUAAAGAGUAAAAGGCUCCACCCCUGGGAGCCCCAACUUUGGGUUUCUGGGCCUGAUCACCCCAGCAACCCUAAGUGGGGGUGCCCUCUCUUGACAGUCGACUCAUUGAGUAUUUUAGUCACCUACUGAGUCGGUUAUGAGGGUAGGAGACCUGUGAUUUAUUCUGUGAACUGUCGUGCUAGCGUAGUGUGCCCCAGUACAGGAACUGUUGUGUGACUCUUAUCUUGAUAACCCUCUGGAAGAGGCCAUGAGGGUGAGGUCUGAUCUCUUCUUUUCCUUUCUUUGUCUGUUUUGCUCACCAUCUCUUCUGUUGUCACCAAGUAGAGGUUAAGUUCAGGUUAGACCUGAGCAGAACCUUGACCUUCUGUAAAAUUGGAAAAAUAAGCCUUUUGCCAGGGAUUUAACUCUCAAACCUGGCUCUGGGAGCCCCAGCCUCCAGCCAGUUCCAGGCCUUUGCCUCCUGCUUCCCUACCUCAACUUUGCUGGCUCAGAGACAAAGUGCCCAGGCUGAGCGGGACUUGACUAAAUCUUAUAACUAUGUCAACACCCGCAAUCGGCCUCUGCACACCCGCAAUCGGCCUCUGCACCCUUUCUCCAGCUGCUGUCAGUCAGACACUGGCUUUACCGCCACGGGGAAGGUUCCUAAGCAUCCCCAGAGACCCACCCUGUGGAUGCGUUCUAACUCCAUCUGGGAGAAAAUUUGAGGGGUUUCUCUGUGCCUUUGUGAUGCAGUUGGACAGGUAGAUCAACCUGGAAUGUAAUUUGAGUUACAAUCCAGUUUCUGGGAAAUCAAGAGCAACUGUCCUUAGAAAAUCCUUGCAAGACUGGAAAUACAGCUCUAGAGGCAGUUCAGAUUCCACCUAGUUCCUUUAUCACAGAAAGGAUUAUCAUCUCCCCUCUCCAGGAACUACUAUCUAGCCCAUCACUAAUUCCUAAGACUGAAAAAAAAAAAAAAAAAGAAAGAAAGAAAGAAAGAGGAGGGGAGAGGGAAAACGGCCAUAAGCGUGCCCUUGCAAAAAAUCUAGCAUCUUGAGUAUCUUCUCCACAAAUAUUGGUAAAAAAACAAUAGCUCUAACAAUAGCUGUGCAGUCUCUGUGUACGUGUGUCUAUGUGUACGUUAUAUGUGUGAUAUUUUACCUCCGGAUGGUGUUACCAAAAUUAAGAGCUCUGUUUAAUUGGCUUCAAGUAAGCGCUUACAUAAAUUCUAAAUGUAGUAGAAAUUAAUCCAAUGUCUUUCAAGUUAACUUGAUGUGAAUUAACUUUUGGUAAAUGAAAGCUUGUUUAAGUUUGUUGGUUUGAUUGAAAAUAGUCUUCUUGUCAGAGUUGUCAGUAUUUGCAUAUGAUGCAGGCAUGCAGCCUGGGUUUACUAGUCAAAUAAGUUCACAUUGUCUGUUAAAUUCGUCAGCAAAAUAAUAGCUUUAAAGGAUGACCAGUUUUGUCUAAUGUCUCAUGAAGUUUUUGUGGGUACAAUAACUGUUUUAUGGUCUGUAUACUUGAAAAAAAAAAAAAAAGCUUCCAAAUUGUUUUGAUAACAAUCUUGAGUUUUGCCAAGUUAAGUUAAAUGAUAAAAAUCUGAGCAUCUGGGUCAUUUUUGGAUUGGAUAGCACACAAGCAUUAUAGCCAAACUUAUCUAAGUUAUCUACUUUUGGCUUCUUAUUGCAGAGAGGCUAAAAGUCUUUGGGUCUGUUAUUGUAAAGCAGCGUGUUUCUAGAAAUUAUGAAGUGUUUAGAAUGCUGGUAUAAAAGACAAUUCAUAAUUGCUUACCUUUUUAGUGUUUACUAUGGUCUGUUAAGGGUUAAAAGUUCUUAUUAACCUAUAUAAUUAAAGCUACUGGAAGUUAAUAAGGAAAACAGCUCUGUAUUGAAGGAAAGUUAAAAUGUAUGUUUUCAGUAAAGAGGGUAUAAAGAAUGGAAGUAUUUUUGUUUGAUGGGUUAAGAAAGAUAAGUUUGUCCUAAAGUACUAGAAAGAAAAAAAGACAGACUUUGGGACAAAUUCUGAAGGCAAAAAGAAAGUUGUAGAUUUGUGAAGGAGGAAUUCUGAAAGGAGUUUUAUGCCUGGUCAAGUAGACUAAGAUUAGAGUAAAUCCAAUUAAGUGAAUGAGUUUUAAUGUUAAAAAUAAGCUGGUACAGAAAUUAAAAUUUGGUUUUCUCUCAAAGCAUAAUUUUCUUGAACUUUUGGCCUGCUCUAACUCUACCUAAAAGACAGAAAAUCUAUGUUUUGUUAAAAUAAUUUCCUAUAUUCAGAAAGAAAGAGGUCUCUUCUAAAAUUUUUUUGACGGUGUUGUUUGCUCUUGACUGUCUCUGUUGUCACUUUGAAUGGAUGCCUGAGCAUUGUUUAACAGUGAGCGUUGUUUCCUAUUGAACAAGCAUUUUAAAAACUUUUGAUAUUUUUGACAAGCUUCUCCCUCAAAAAUAUUCAAAUCCUGAAUAAAGGCUUUCUUUUGACCUAGUAGAUGGAAGAAGAAUUUCUCUGAGGAUUUUCAGAGGGCCCCUGAGACUUCUCAAAGAAAUUUGCUCUCUUCCUAUAAGGAGGAAAAUACUAAAUUAAUUAGGUUUAUUUGGUUUACUAAAUUACAUGGGAAGCAUUGUCAAAUAAGCGAUGAUAAACUUUCUUAUGUGGUAUUACGUGGGUGAAUGUUAUUAAUAUACGUGUCUUAACAUUAUAUAGCAUUCCUAAAAUUCUAAUCUGUUCUGGUUAUCAGUCAUAAUUCCAGUUAUUAUCUUAAAGUGUUAUAUGUCACAGAAAUAGCCAAGUUUCUUUGUCAAUUGCCCUUUUGAGUCUUUUGUCCAUUUGCAGAUAGUUGCUGUUUUACACUGAUGCUUUUUGCUUUUGCAAAUAUGUUUCAUGUCCAGAGAAAUUCCUGGAAAGGAUUCUGACACAAGGGUUCUAAACUACAGGUUUCUGAUAAACUUUCAGAUUGUAAAACUGAACUGGGUAAGAAAUUACAGAAUUCUAACAGAAACUAAGCUCAUAGACCUGCUAACAGAAGAUUAAACUCAAUAAUCAAUUAUACAGGACUGUGUGAACUGAUGAGAAUGAUUAUAAUUUUUUAUGACUUCUGUUUGAAAUAUUGCUGAGUUUUGAUGUUUUGUUUUGUUUUCUCAUGUUUAAGGAAAUCUUUCUUUCUUUUCUCUUAUGCUAACUAUGACUUACAGCAAUUUAGUGAAAUACAUCUUUAUGAGCAAAACUGAAACAUUUGUCUUUUUCUCCCGACCUGAUCCCUCCAGAAUUUGGAAACUCUUUGUGAGUACGGUUAUUUCGUGGCAAUAUAGUUAUUUGCAUAAGUUCAAUAAGAAUUUGGUCUCCUUAUAACAGGACACAUUGGUUAUCUUACCAAGGCUUUGACUGGAAUGUCAUAUUUGAGCGAAACAUACAGGCUCGGAUAUGACAAGACAGCUUUUCAGGAACAAAGAUUGGACUUUCUGGAAUACAGCCACUUGGAAACAUGGGCCUGGUACCUUGUUUACAGAGAUUCUGGCAAUCUUACCUGGUAAGUAAGGAAGCUUGCUUAUCUGGCAGGUGCAAGGAACCUCAGAAUAUUUUGGAGGACCUCGAGAAGAGAGGAGUCCACCCAAAUCUGGAGGUACUGCAGGCAAAAUCUGAUGGCAAGUCCUUGGCUUGGCUUUUCUGGCCUCGAGAGGCCUUUACAGUUCAAUCUGAGAUUCCUCAUAAGAAAAAUUCCAGCAAAGCAGAUUUAAAAAGCCUGUAUAAUCAAUUGCCAUUCUUGCUGCACUUAUGUCAAUAAUUGGACCAAGUUUUAUUGAAACUACACUUAUUUUGCAAACCAGUUAAUCUUAAUUUGGCUAUCUUUUGUAAAAAUGAGGGUGAUUUUAGAGAGAAAAAUUAUGUUUCAGUAGAAGCUAUAGUACGCAUUUAUGGAUAUUAGAUUCUAGCUCUUCUCCUCUACAAGAGUCAUCUAUUACUAAUCAUGUCUCCUUGUGGCCAUCUGUCUCUGAUACCUGGGAGUUCCCUGGCCACAAUCAAACCUUUUCCUUCAAUACUGCUGCCCAAAUACUAACUAGAUUUGCCUUGUCAUAGGUGGAUCAUAAACGACAAGUUCCAAAGGUAAAGUCCCCAACUUAUUGAUACACACAGGAUGGACUAUAUCAAAUUUGGGACGAAUAUAUUUGGCUCACUCCUGCUAGUGAUCAACUCAGUAAAAGUCCACUCUAUCUUGGGAACAAACCAAUCACACCUGUGAUACAUGGCCUAAUAGCACCCGACCUAUGGGAAAAUUCCCUGUCAUAUGUGUUCUCAUAUCAUAAGCUUAAAAAAUACUGAUUGGUUUGGGACUGACUGGGAUAGACGGCCCAGCACGCGUUGGUUAGCCCCUAAUGGCACUCAGUGGCUAUGUGGCUCCAACUUAUGGCUUUGGCUGCCACCUGGAUGGAUUGGACGAUGCACUCUAGGCUUUGUCAGGAUGCAAGGUCUACAUUUACUAUCUCUCCUCCUGCUAACCGACCCAACCUGCAACAGCGCUGGACCUGCUCUGUCUUCCACUGGUAUGACCACGUUGCCUCAAUUUUCCUUCCCCAGUUAGGAAUCGAAAGUGUCAUCUGGCCCAUGGAAGCUCUAAACAAAUUUACUAUGAAAGCGUUAAAAUGAUACACAACAUAGCCUUUUGCUGCUUGAUUUAGAAGUGUCCCAAAUGUAUAAGGCAGUCCUCCAAAACCGAAUGGCACUAGAUGUCUUGACAGCAGCACAGGGGGCACCUGUGCCAUUAUAAAAACUGAAUGUUGUGUCUAUAUUCCUGACUACCAUCAAAAUAUCUCUGGCUUCCUGUCUGAUAUGAGCCACCAAGUUAAGUCCAUGUCUGACCCUCCCCUAUCUCUAAAUGACUGUUUGAACUCCUGGUCAGGACGAGGUUUCUAGACUACUACCAAAACCUUAUUCAUUGGGUUAAUCAUAUUGCUAGUAUUUCCUAUUAUAAUUUGUUGUCUGUUUCGUUGUUUGUCUUCCGCAUGUCAACAAAGUUUCACCUCCUGGACCACCACUCGACAAAUGAUUCUCUCGUCCCCAGAGGCUCUGGAUGCCUUGUCAGCCUUGGACUCCACGGGUGCAGUCUUCCGGUCCGCUGAACCCCCUACCUAUACCUAUGGCCCCAUUUAGGGACAGCUCUACGACCUUGUACAGCCGGAAGUAGUUACAGAAGACUGACCGUCGUCCAUAUCCCCAAAAGAUUUUGGGGCCAAAUGGGUUCAGGGGGGGUUUAUGAUGUGGAUUAAGGCUGCCCCAGCUAGAGAAGCCCAAGGUGACCUGGCCUACGUGCCAAACUAUACGACCCAGUGGACUUUUUUUAUGGUAUGAAUUAGGACUGCCCCAGGGAGAGAAGCCCGGGGCAUCCUCACCUGCAUGCCGAUCUAUAUGGCCAGAUUCGUAUCUAAAGUUAUAUGACCGCACAAUAACCAGACCCCAUCUGCACUGAAAUCAUUUAAUGACUUUUUACAUCAUCUUUUCUUUUCUCCAGUAAAAAUAAGUCACGUACCCAUGCCUUAUAAAAUUAGCCCUAACCCUCAACUCGGCAGCAGCAGGAGCUCUGACCGCCCGUGGGUCCUGUCCCCACGCACCAGCUCUGCCUGCCCAUGGGUCCUGUCCCCAUGCCAGCGGCAGCAGCAGCAGAAGCUCUGCCUGCCCAUGGGUCCUGUCCCCAUGCUAUUCCACACUAUUCUCUAAAUAAAAGAGCACUACUGCCAGAUCUUGAGAGUCUAAGAAAUCUUUCUUUCGACUCCUCGGCUCACCGAUCCCGC
rnacentral:lncRNA from 1 species